rnacentral:lncRNA from 1 species
CAGAUAUAAAAAUGUCUAUAACAUGCAGCAAUGAUAGCCGCACUUGCCACUCUCCACUCCUACGGCAUUUAUAUCUGUCUUUGCCUGUCAAAAACAAACAUUGACAGUACUUCUAAUUCUCAUUUUAUUCCAUACUUAAUUCACAUUACAGAGCAUUUACCCCGGCAUAUAACUGAUUGAUCGACACGAUCGGCUAAGAACAUUGGAGUGUGGUUUGAUCACACUAUGUCUAUGAGCAAAUAGGUGAAAAGUGAUUCUCAUGUGAUCAUUCAGUAAGAAAAUCGAAGUGGAUAGGUUUUAAAAUUUUUGUUUGUAUUUUCAUUAUUUCUUGUAUGAAAUUUUCUACAAUGAGAAAUGCAUCUAUUUUUAAAUAUUGCCUUCAAUAAUGGUUCCUGGUAGGUAUGCUUAACCCCUCCUUCAAAAAUAUCAUUUUGUUUCAUACCCCUAUCCAAAUAGGCUCCCUCAUCCCCUCCUCCAUAACACACACUUUAUGACCGCUCUCUAUGAUUGCGCUAAUGUCUUGCAAUCAUUAACGUUUGAUCACUCAACUCCAUAUGACCCACUGAAUAAUACCACAGAAACAAAUUCGUUAAAAUGGGAGCAAUUAAAUAAGAAGUUUGGUGGAAGCCUUAGUUUAAUUUGAAUAAAAAAGAGCUCAGCAAAUAACUUUUAAACCACACACACAUUUACAACACAAAAGCUUCAUGCUCAACUUCCUAUUUAUUGUUACAGUUACGUUUGUUCAAGGUCGUCCAAGUUCCUGUUUUUGUCUGUUUGAUAGACGUGAAGUUCCUGUUUGAGUGCGUUCAUGCUUUUGAUAAGAUUAAAAUUUCAAAUGUCUAAAAUAGUUUGCUGUAAGAAAGGAAGACAAGCAUGCAAUUACGAAUAUCAAAAUAUUGUAAAUACUUAGGGCAAAUUUAGCA